CGGGCGGCAGAGGCAGCAACGCGGGAUCGCCAUGGGCCGCAAGAAGAACAAGAAGGGUCCGGGCGGCCGCGAGGGGCGGCUGGUGGUGACUUUCGACGAGGAGCGGCGGAGGGAGUACCUGACCGGCUUCCACAAGCGGAAGGUGGAGCGGAGGAAGGCGGCGCUGGAGGAGAUCAAACGGAAGCUGAAGGAAGAGCAGAGGAAAAUGAAAGAGGAGCGCCACCAGGAGUAUCUGAAGAUGCUGAGCGAGAGGGAGGAGGCGCUCGAGGAGGCUGAUGAAUUGGAGCACUUGGUGACAUCGAGGACAGAGUCUGUGAACAUCGACCACCCAAACCACAUUGUAACAGUGACCACCAUCAGUGACCUGGACCUCUCGGGGGCACGCCAGCUGGGACUGACCAACCCUGUGGGAAGAACUGGUGGAUCUGAAGAAGAGAAAGGGGAAGAGGUGGUGAACAAGCCAGUGAGAACAAUGCCCAAGAAGUCCAGAAACCCCUUACUGUCUGAAAAAAUCUGUUCUCUUACUGCCACGCUGCACAUGCAUAGCCGGAAAAAGACAAAAGGAAAGAGAUGCCAACGUGGGCAAGGUUCACGUAAAAAAAUCCAGAAGUCCAGCACAGGGCGAACCACUAAGACUCAGCGUCGGAGGCUGACUGGCAAAAUGGGCCGUGAUCAAGAUUAACAGAGAAACUUACAUUCAGACCACCAGCUGGGACAGUGCUCCACAUCUGGCCUGCUGCUUUUCGGGACCCUGUCAUUGUGGGCAAGCACCUUGUUUACAUGGCGUUCUGAUUAGCCAGAAACUCAGUUCAGCCUUUCUGUAGCCUCCUGAGCGCUGGCCAGCAUGACUAGACGCUCUACCCAUUUAUUUUUGCAAUCAUCUCCAGCUGAGUGUCUGGGUGCCACAGAACCUCUAAAACUUCUACUGAAGGUCACGUUCUCUAUUUGGCGUCACUCUUCUGUCCUUGGCCCCCCCCCUUUCAGAGCUGAUACUUGGCUUUAUCAAAGGAGAGGACCUCGGGCAGAGUGCAACAGGCACAUCAUUGUCAGGGCAAUUUGAGAGACUUGGGAGAGCUCUGCUUGCACUCCUGCAUCAGUGCCCUGGCAUUUCUGCUGUGCAGUAAAUCCUUUUUCCAUGGAGAUACGGUGUCAUCUUGCCUCCUGUGUUUCUUCACCACACAGUGCUGCACCUGAAAGCAUGGAACAUAGUGCCUUGUGGAGAGACCAUGGACAGAAGGUGACCUGUGUGCUUCCUCACCCGAGGAGUUUGCUCUGGAGCUGGGAUGGCCACUGUAAAAAUGUACUGUUUGAGAAACCUGCUGGAGUGUGGAGUGUGGAAUGUGGAUCAGUUGCCUUCCCCAGACUGCAGGCAGCCUGAGGUGGUAGCUGGGACAGAGCUGGAUGACCUCAUUGUAUUCUGGAUGAGGUGUUAAGACUGACUUCAGGUUUUGUCAUUUUACUGCCAGGUGGUCUAGAAGAAUCUCUUUUAGUUUGCUGUUUCCAUAGUCUAAUAACAUUUUUGAGCCUUUCUCAAGUGUCAGCUGAAAUCCUCAACAGCCCCUUCCGUGCUCUGAAAUCUUUCAGUUCCUGCUAGAAAAUGAGUUUUCAAAUUCUAAAAACCCAAAAAGGUG